GACGAACGCUGGCGGCGUGCCUAACACAUGCAAGUCCACGAGAAAGCGGUAGCAAUACUGCCGGUAAAGUGGCGAACGGGUGAGUAACACGUAGGUAACUUGCCCUUGGGACUGGAAUAACCUCGAGAAAUCGGGGCUAAUACCGGAUAAUGCAGCGGACCCGCAUGGGUAUGUUGUUAAAGUGGUCUUGGCUUGCCAAGUUCACACCUAAGGAUGGACCUGCGUCCCAUUAGCUAGNGGUGAGGUAACGGCUCACCAAGGCGACGAUGGGUAGCCGGCCUGAGAGGGUGUCCGGCCACACUGGGACUGAGAUACGGCCCAGACUCCUACGGGAGGCAGCAGUGAGGAAUAUUGGUCAAUGGCCGAAAGGCUGAACCAGCAACGCCGCGU
rnacentral:rRNA from 1 species